rnacentral:lncRNA from 1 species
UUAUUAAUUAGCUCUGCCCUGCCCUACUAUGAUAUCCUUUGUUGUUCACAUUAUUGGUAGCGUAUUUUUCUCACUUAUGUCUCUUCUGAUGUAUUGCUCCAGUGUCAUCCACACCACUUUUGAUUUUUUUCCUAUGUUUUAUCUGUCCUUUUAGUACCUUGCCACUAUUCGAUUUGUAAUGCUUUUGAUUACUAACUUUUUACUGCUCAAGAUGAUUAUGCUAACUCGCCAAUCUAAAGGUACUUAAACAGUUUCAUAUAUGGCACAGCGUAAAUUAUCAUUUGGAGUCUAGAUAUCCAUCAGUUCAAUAAGACAACCAUGAAGGUAAGUAUCGCUGUUAGAAGUUAGAACUUUGUAACUUUCGAGGGGGUUAUAAUUUCUCCAUUAAUUUACACGAGGAAUUUUUCUUUUUUCUUCCCUUGAACAGUUUAUUCUGUUAAAAACAAAGUUUGCUUUCGACCAUUUAACCAUUAGUAAAUAUGGCCCUUCUAGAUUGCAUCUCGUCAGGCAAAUUGAAGGAUGUUUGGAUCUCGAUGAUCACAUUUAUGACAGUAGCAAGUAACAGUGUUAUAAUAUAAUUGGAUUGAACUCUCUAAUAUCCC